AGCGGUGUGGUUUUGCCAGCCACAGAGAGUUUUUGUGAUUGUGUAACAUUUGGAAUUCUGGGAACUUUUCGGAGGGUACGUGAAUUCUAGGGCCCAGAGAGGUGGGUUGGUGGUGGUUCAGGAGGGAUGGUUGUUGCCAUUUCCUAGUCCAAAGAAGAAAGAAAUGAAAUUCAGAUCUCUCUCUCUCCACCUCCCCCCUCUCCCUCUUCUGUCUAGUAAAAGGUUGAGAAGAGGUGGGUGAGGUAAAGGGUGGAAAAGAGCCCACAAAGUCACAAAUCCCAGCUGUACCUGAAAGCCAAGUAAGGCCUCUCAGCCCCCUCUUCUCAGUCAUCCAUGGGUGGGAGAGCUGCAUAGGGUUUGAGACAUAACCUCAUUGCCAAAGAAAGCUCACAGAGCCUGUGAGCGUUUACCUCCUGCUCAUCUGUGUGUACCUAGGAACCUGCCUGCUGAACACAGCAAGGAGGGUGGCGAUGGACAGGUGGGCAGGGAAGGUUGGAAGGUACAAAGCCUGACCAGAUGAAAGCUGAGAAACCCCCAUAGCUUCCAGUUCCUUAAUUUUCCACUUUGUGUCUUUGCAGCUGUCAACAGAGCCUGGAUCCCAGGAGCGACCUGCUGUAUAGAGGCUGGCCUGGGCCAUAGAAACCCAGGAGAGGAGUCAACAGUUGUGUUUCACCCCACCUCUUGAUCUGAUUUUCUCACAGAAAGCCAGGCAGGAUCUGCUACUUAGGAGUCUUUAGUCCCACAUGGAGUCCUCAGAGCUUCAGGGGCUCAGUGCUAACCGUUCAACCUACUCAAGGCAUUUUAGUAGGAGGGGCUGGGGCUUAACGUGGUGUUUGAUCACUUCACUUGCACUUGUAGAGGACCUGGGUUCACUUUAUCUUACAAUAAAUGAAUGAAUAAAUAAAUAAACAAAUAAAUGGCUUUAAAGAGUUGAAAGGCAGCAGACAUCGUAGCGCACACCAUUAAUCCCCGCACUCAGGAGGCAGAGACAGAUGGAGUUCAAAGCCAGCCUGAUCUACAUUGCAAGUUCUAGGACAGCCAGGUCUACACAAACCUGUCUUGAAACACCAAAGACCAGGGACUAAAUCCCUGGUGUGGCUCUCCAGGUCAGAACACUCAGCUCCUGUGCUAUUCCCGGUCUCUUGUUUCUGCUUAGUUUCCCAUAGAAUGUUCUGGAACAUACUACUAUAUAUGCCCCCCACUGUCACACCUUUAUUGGAACCUAUAGCCUGGGUGCCCUUGGACAUUCCAGAGGACUCCCAGAAAAGAAGGUCACCCUCUGUAAUCUGUGAAGGAAAGUUGAGAAUCAUUUACUUUAGGUAAGGCAUUUUAAACUCUGAGCCUGUGUUCGUCUUUGUUAGCACUUGUCCACAAGUUCUUGAAGGGUGGGGCUGUUCUGCAUCCCCUCUGUACUAAAGUUUUCAAGUAUCUGCCUCUGCAUGAAGCGUUCAAUAAAGGCUUGGUCAAGCGA
rnacentral:lncRNA from 1 species